AGAGUUUGAUCAUGGCUCAGGAUGAACGCUAGCUACAGGCUUAACACAUGCAAGUCGAGGGGAAACGAUAUUGGAAGCUUGCUUCCGAUAGGCGUCGACCGGCGCACGGGUGAGUAACGCGUAUCCAACCUGCCCACCACUUGGGGAUAACCUUGCGAAAGUAAGACUAAUACCCAAUGAUAUCUCUAGAAGACAUCUGAAAGAGAUUAAAGAUUUAUCGGUGAUGGAUGGGGAUGCGUCUGAUUAGCUUGUUGGCGGGGUAACGGCCACAGGCGACGAUCAGUAGGGGUCUGAGAGGAAGGUCCCCCANAUUGGAACUGAGCAACGGUCCAAACUCCUACGGGAGGCA
rnacentral:rRNA from 1 species